GAUCCUGGCUCAGAGUGAACGCUGGCGGCAGGCCUAACACAUGCAAGUCGAGCGGCAGCGCGUCCGACCACCCUCGGGUGGUCGGAUGGCGGCGAGCGGCGGACGGGUGAGGAAUGCAUCGGAAUCUGCCUCGUUGUGGGGGAUAACGUAGGGAAACUUACGCUAAUACCGCAUACGACCUACGGGUGAAAGUGGGGGACCUUCGGGCCUCACGCGAUGAGAUGAGCCGAUGCCGGAUUAGCUAGUUGGCGGGGUAAAGGCCCACCAAGGCGACGAUCCGUAGCUGGUCUGAGAGGAUGAUCAGCCACACUGGAACUGAGACACGGUCCAGACUCCUACGGGAGGCAGCAGUGGGGAAUAUUGGACAAUGGGGGGCAACCCUGAUCCAGCCAUGCCGCGUGUGUGAAGAAGGCCUUCGGGUUGUAAAGCACUUUUGUUGGGGAAGAAACCGGCCGGGUUAAUACCCUGGUUGAAUGACGGUACCCAAAGAAUAAGCACCGGCUAACUUCGUG
rnacentral:rRNA from 1 species